AUAACAAAGAGCCUUCAUCAGCUCGUAAUUUGGAAGUCGGGUCGAGAGGAGAUGACACUGGAGCAAGAUCCAAAACAUCAAAUUCAGUGAGAACUUCCAAGAAUCAGUAGCAGGUUCAAUGGAAGUACCAUCUAUAAAGCCUGCUUUGUUCUUAGCAAUGAGGGCUAUCAGCAUGCCCCUUUUCCAACCUGCAAAGCUUUUGCCAUCAAAUGCAGAAUUAACAAGCAACAUCCCUGGGGAAUCAGAGGGUGAAAUGAAAUAUGCAUGGGAAGCAUUCACAACAUCAGUUGCUAUGCCUUGCCCAGCAGUUCCUGAAGCUUCAGUGAUUUCAGCCAUUUUGACUGAUGAACAGGAAUAAACAACAGAUUAAGCAAGGAAAUAGAGUAAAGAUAUAAAGAGAGUAAGAUCUUUUACUGAUCCUGCUCUGAUACCAUAUUAGGAAAUAAAUAAACUUGGACAAAAAUUGUAUAGAAAACUUGCUUUGUAUAUUUCUGUGUAUAUCAACAUUUGUACAGUGGUGUUUUUAUAGUAGUAAAAGAGCAUCUAAGAAAUAACAAACUAUCCACCAGUCACCUAA